UACAGAGGCCUCGAGCGUUAGGCGGAAUCACUGGGCUUAAAGCGUGUGUAGGCGGACGUCUAAGUACCUUGUGAAAUCCCACGGCUCACCCGUGGAACGGCUGGGUAUACUGGUCGUCUUGAGCCUUCUAGGGGCUACCGGAACAAAUGGUGGAGCGGUGAAAUGCGUAGAUAUCGGGAGGAACACCUGUGGCGAAAGCGGCUCACUGGACCAUAACUGACGCUGAUGCACGAAAGCUAGGGGAGCAAACAGG
rnacentral:rRNA from 1 species